rnacentral:sRNA from 1 species
UUGUAUUUAAACUAGUUGAUGGUGCAGUUAUCUUCAAUCAUGCAACUUCAAAAAUCAAGGCAAGUGAUACAAAAUUUACAAAACCUUUAUACAAGUUAUCUGAUGAAUAAAUGUUCUGAGGUGUUUCCUGAUGAAAUAACUCAAAUACCAUUAUAACAAAACUGUACAUUAUAGCAAAAAAUUUGAGCAGAAAAAGUGGUGUUGGGGACCAGGGGCAAAUACUGAUGGUCUCUUUGGACAGCUUCUUGAUGCAGACUUCAAUCUAUCACUCUAUUUCAUUUCGUUUUCUACACCAGCACACUGCAUUAUAGGGGCCGUUCUUACACAGGGUCGAGCUUCACUUGCAAAAUGAAAUCCAAUCCGGGACCAUCUUUCCUUGUUUUGUGGUUCCAUUCAAGGUUGGUGGAAUGUUCCUAUCCAAGUUCAUAGCUAUUAUGGAAAAAAAGUUGGAUCUUUCCUCUUGCAAUCCAUUCACUCUUGUUACUUGGUUGGUGUGUAGGCAACCUGAAACUUUCCAUUGGUUUCCAUCUGUAGAUUGCUUUUGGCAAUGCAUGAGUGUUGAAUGGUAGGUAUGGUCUUUGAAUGGAAAAUACACCUAGCUAGUAUGCUAUGGAGGUAGCUCAACUUCCUUUGAAUGGUGAUCACUAGAUUGAGAUCUUAAGCAAUCUAAAGAA